GCGUGAUCGAGCGAUGCCGCUUGAGGGACGAAGCCCCUCGGGGUGUAAACUUCUGAACUCGGGACGAUGAUGACGGUACCGAGGUAAUAGCACCGGCUAACUCCGUGCCAGCAGCCGCGGUAAUACGGAGGGUGCGAGCGUUACCCGGAUUUACUGGGUGUAAAGGGCGUGUAGGCGGUUUCUCAAGUCCGAUGCUAAAGACCGAAGCUCAACUUCGGGAGUGCGUUGGAUACUGUGAAGCUAGACGGUCGGAGAGGGUAGCGGAAUUUCCGGAGUAGCGGUGAAAUGCGCAGAUACCGGAAGGAACGCCAAUAGCGAAAGCAGCUACCUGGACGAUUUGUGACGCUGAGGCGCGAAAGCGUGGGGAGCAAACCGGAUUAGAUACCCGGGUAGUCCACGCCCUAAACGUUGAGUGCUGGGUGUCCGACAUCUGUUGGGUGCCGUAGCUAACGCGUUAAGCACUCCACCUGGGAAGUACGGUCGCAAGACUGAAACUCAAAGGAAUUGACGG
rnacentral:rRNA from 1 species